AAAGGAGUCAGUCUCAAGUCCAGUUGGUGGAGUCUGGAGGGGAUGUGAGAAGACCUGGGGAGUCCCUCCGUCUCUCCUGCCAAGCCUCUGGAUUCACCUUCAGCAGCUAUGACAUGCACUAGGUGAGACAGGCUCCAGGGAAAGGACUGGAAUGGGUGGCCUGGAUAACUGCUGGUUCAAGUACUUACUACUCAGACAAAGUCAAGGGCCGCUUCACCAUCUCCAGGGACAAUGCCAAAAGCCAGCUGUAUCUGCAAAUGAACAGCCUCAAACUAGAGGACACGGCAAUCUAUUACUGUGC